UGGGGUCGAUGAGAUAUCAGUGGACACCAUUACAGAUAUGGUAGAAGGAAGAGUCUCACAGUGGUUUCCAAGUGUGGUCCCCGGACCUGCAGCAUCAACAUCACCUGGAAACCCAUUAGAAAAGCAAACCCAGCUGUGGGCCCAGCAAGUUGUAGUUUAACAAGCCCUUCAGGUGUAUACUUUGGGAGGUACACAGACCCACUGUAGCACCUUCAGAUGGUGAGAAGGAAGGCCAAUUAAAAGAAUGUCCAAAGAAAGGAGUACUCAUCAUGAGAUAAAACACCAGCAGAGGAAUGAAAGCUGCUUCAAACAGGUGACAAAACUGAGGCUCAGAGGCCAAUGGCCUUGUUCAAGGUCACACGCCCACUAAAUGAGAGACCCGGAGACCUGGCAUCACACGCUAACUAAGAAUACUGGAAGGAGAUAAGAUUGGGACUGAAAGACCUGGAUUGAAUGAUUUUUAUCAAGUCACUUCCCUUCCUUGGAUCUCCAUUUACUCAUCAAUAAACUAAGCAGAUUGGAUUAAAUGUUCUGUAAGGUGCCUUCUAGGUGAGGAAGAAGUUGGGAUAAGUCAUAAGGAAGCACCCCAAUGAACAUCUCCUGCCUCUAUGGUUUUUCUGACAUCCAUCAACAUCUGUCAGAAUUUGAAAAUGUGACUGCUUUUAGGCACUGUGCUUAGUGCUGGAGAUUCCGUGUUGAAGCUCACAGUCUGGGGCAGAGAUGGAAACAGACACAAAUAACUAUAAUACAAUGUGGUAAGUGCUGUAAUAUAGGUACUGUAUGCUCAGAGUGCUACGGGAACUCAGGAGGGAGCUUAUGAAAUAAUUUAGUUAAUGUUCCAAUGUCUAAAUGUGAAUGUUUAAAUAACGUCUUUCUUUCCUCAGUGCUUCCUGCUUUGCAUGGCAUUUUUUACUGUUUUUUAUCUUAUUUGCUGAUUCUAGCGAUCCCGUUAAUAAGUUUUCACUCCACAAACUCACCCUUAUACAGAGUAGGUGCUCAAGAAACAUCUCCCAAAAGACAGAAUAAGUGAAUGGAUAGUCGAUGUUAUUAGCUUUUGUUGACAAUUAG